CGCGUGUUGAAGUAUCAUGAUUAUUCCAUAGACAUAUAGUUGAUGGUAUAAAUGAUUCAUUAGUUAAAGCAAGUCUGCAGAAAGAAGUAUUAUAUCGUUACCAUUGCGUAGUGCAUAAACAGUCAUACAUUGGAUUGUUAGUCAUGUUAGUGGAAUUAAAUUACUCAAAUAUUCUAGUACAUUAUAUUGUGUCAUAUUAUAAAACAUUUGAAUUUU
rnacentral:lncRNA from 1 species